rnacentral:rRNA from 1 species
GUGGGGAAUCUUAGACAAUGGGCGCAAGCCUGAUCUAGCCAUGCCGCGUGAGUGAUGAAGGCCUUAGGGUUGUAAAGCUCUUUCAGUGGGGACGAUAAUGACGGUACCCACAGAAGAAGCCCCGGCUAACUUCGUGCCAGCAGCCGCGGUAAUACGAAGGGGGCUAGCGUUGUUCGGAUUUACUGGGCGUAAAGCGCACGUAGGCGGAUCGUUAAGUCGGGGGUGAAAUCCUGGAGCUCAACUCCAGAACUGCCUUCGAUACUGGCGAUCUUGAGUGCGGAAGAGGUGAGUGGAACUCCUAGUGUAGAGGUGGAAUUCGUAGAUAUUAGGAAGAACACCAGUGGCGAAGGCGGCUCACUGGUCCGGUACUGACGCUGUGGUGCGAAAGCGUGGGGAGCAAACAGGAUUAGAAACCCUAGUAGUCC